rfam:Picea glauca, whole genome shotgun sequence.
UAUUAUGUACAUUCCUAUAGUGUUAAUGCAUAAGGUACCAUUAGAUAUUUUUAGUUAAGUGUGAUUGGGAUAGAGUAGUAUUGGGAUGGACGAUCACCUAGGAAGCCCUUAUGUUUUAC